rnacentral:lncRNA from 10 species
ACCCGCCUUGGCCUCCCAAAGUGCUGGGGUUACAGGUGUGAGUCACCGAGCCCGGCCAGAGAUGGAGAUCUUGAGAGAUUAUAAAGGUGCUGGGUUGUGCCACAUAUCUGCUGAGCUUGGUGCAGUGUAGGGAAUGCAUGAGCACCUGGUCAAAAAUUCCUCUCUACUCAUUAGUUGCUGCAUAGCAUUUACAGACCCACACCCUUGCCAAGAGAUAAUUUGAGCUCUUAGCUCUGUCUUGCCAGGGCUGAUAUCGAUGUAAUUAUUGUUUGAUUCUACUAUAAGACUGAAUUCAGUUUCAGCUUUUUAAUUUGUCCAUUUCACUUCUCAUUUAUCAGCUUCUAUUGCAGAUGUGAAGUUUAGCAUUUCUUUGCUCACUCUUUUACUGGGAAACUCUUCUAGCGGAAAGCCUGUCAUCUGUUGUGAAGGAGAGCUGGUGUUGACUUGAAGCAACAGAGUUGGUGGUCCAGUGGCCAUUGUCCUGUGUUAGGAGCAGGUGGUCUCGCUAAGCUCCAUGUGUUUGGAAAUUUCUCUGACCAGUGCUUGUUCUGCUAAAGGAAGAAGAGCUCAAGCUGCACUCCUUGUUUCCAGGUCAAUCUACUGAACCUGGGAAAAUCCCCAGGGGCUAGCUUGAACUUCUUCCUGCUUUUCUCUUCAUGGUGGAUUUUAAACAUAGGGGAUUUUCCUCAUUCAUCUAUUUGUAUUUCAAACAGCUGCUAUAAGAAAGGGGAAAAGGCACAUUUUAUAGUACAUAUUUUUAGAAGCAGUGACAUAGUUUCUCAAAGGAUAACAGUUAAAUUUUGGUCCAAAGACUAUAAUUGCUCUUUACUUGGUGGGUGGGUGUGUGUGUAAAAAUUAGGACAGUGUCUUGGAAUGAUGUUAUGUGACCCUUUGGAAAACAUCUUACAGCUGUUGUCCAGGCUGGAGCAUAGUGGCGGGAUCAUAGCUCAUGUAACCUCCAACUCCUGGGCUCCAGUAAUCCUCCAGCCUCAGCCUCCUGAGUAGCUGGGAUUACAGGUGCCCACUACCACACCUGGCUAAUUUUUGUAUUUUUUGUAGAGAUGGGGUUUCACCAUGUUGGCCAGGGUGGUUUUGAACUCCUGACCUCAAGUGAUAUGCCCUCCUCAGCCCCACAACGUGCUGGGAUUACAGGUAUGAGCCACCACGCCCAUUCUAAGAUGAAACUUUAAAAAACUUUUUUAGAACAGUUUUAGAUUUACAGAAAUAUUGUGAAGAUAGUAGAGCGUUUCCAUAGACCCCUAUUAUCACAUUUUACAAUAUUAUGAUUGUUAUUAUUAACAAACCGAUCCAAUUUCCUUAGUUUUUAUCUAAUGUCCUUUUUCUUUUCUGUUCCAGGAUCCCAUCCAGAAUACAUUACCUUUAGUCAUCAUGUCUCCUGUGGCUCUUCUUGGCUGUGACAGUUUCUCAGCUUUCCCAGUUUUAAUGAACUUGCCAUUUUCAUCAGAUUGUACCAAGACCUACUAUCAAUAUGACUUAUGACUAGUGGUGCUGACCUUGAUCACCUGGCUGAGGUAGUUCUUGUCAGGCUUCUCCACUGUCGAGUUGCUCUCCCCAUCCCCCUUUUCCAUAUUGUACUCUUUGAAAGAAAGUCACUAUAUGCAGCCCUUCCUUAAAAAUAUUAAAAUGAACUAGCUUAAUUAAGUUCUUUCUUACAUUUAGGUGUAAAUACCUCUGAGGUUUUUUUCUUUUAAAAAAUGAUUAUCUAUGUAAUACAUACUCACUGCACAAGACUUUAAAAAUGCAAGAAAAGUAUAAAGCAGCAGCAAAUAGAACUACCCAUAAUUCCAUCUGUCACAAGCAACCAUUUCUAGCUUUUUGUCAUAUUUCCUUCCAGUUUUUUUUCUUCUGCAUAAAAUAACUAUUUUUAUUUCUAUUUAUUUAUUUUUUUGAGACAGAGUUUCACUCUGUCACCAGGCU